rnacentral:rRNA from 1 species
ACCUACGGGAGGCAGCAGUGGGGAAUAUUGCACAAUGGGGGAAACCCUGAUGCAGCAACGCCGCGUGAGUGAAGAAGUCAUUCGUGAUGUAAAGCUCUAUCAGCAGGGAAGAAAAUGACGGUACCUGAGUAAGAAGCCCCGGCUAACUACGUGCCAGCAGCCGCGGUAAUACGUAGGGGGCAAGCGUUAUCCGGAUUUACUGGGUGUAAAGGGAGCGUAGACGGCAUGGCAAGUCAGAUGUGAAAGCCCGGGGCUCAACCCC